UACGUAGGGGGCAAGCGUUGUCCGGAAUCAUUGGGCGUAAAGAGCGUGUAGGCGGCUCGGUAAGUCCGCUGUGAAAGUCCAGGGCUCAACCCUGGGAUGCCGGUGGAAACUGUCGGGCUCGAGUCCGGAAGAGGCGAGUGGAAUUCCUGGUGUAGCGGUGAAAUGCGCAGAUAUCAGGAGGAACACCGAUGGCGAAGGCAGCUCGCUGGGACGGUACUGACGCUGAGACGCGAAAGCGUGGGGAGCAAACAGG
rnacentral:rRNA from 1 species